rnacentral:rRNA from 1 species
AUUGAACGCUGGCGGCAGGCCUAACACAUGCAAGUCGAGCGGAUGAAGGGAGCUUGCUCCUGGAUUCAGCGGCGGACGGGUGAGUAAUGCCUAGGAAUCUGCCUGGUAGUGGGGGAUAACGUCCGGAAACGGGCGCUAAUACCACAUACGUCCUGAGGGAGAAAGUGGGGGAUCUUCGGACCUCACGCUAUCAGAUGAGCCUAGGUCGGAUUAGCUAGUUGGUGGGGUAAAGGCCUACCAAGGCGACGAUCCGUAACUGGUCUGAGAGGAUGAUCAGUCACACUGGAACUGAGACACGGUCCAGACUCCUACGGGAGGCAGCAGUGGGGAAUAUUGGACAAUGGGCGAAAGCCUGAUCCAGCCAUGCCGCGUGUGUGAAGAAGGCCUUCGGAUUGUAAAGCACUUUAAGUUGGGAGGAAGGGCAGUAAGUUAAUACCUUGCUGUUUUGACGUUACCAACAGAAUAAGCACCGGCUAACUUCGUG